UACACAAUAUAACAAAAAGGUGUUAAAAUCGGUAGCAUCAAACCCAAGUGAUACUCGUUUCGAAAUUGGUUGCCAUCACCAUAGCGGGCGUAUGUGUUCUUGGACGAGACACUUUUAGCAAUAAAUAAAACAAACGUCUUAAGAUAAUUACGGUACCCGUAAAGUUGCAUACGUGUAAACGGCGCGAGGUGUAUGGCUUUACGAAUGCAUUUAUUCUUGCAUGGCGGGGUAAGUACAAUUUACAUUUCACAGCACUAAUUUGAGAUCUCCAAAAAUCGCGCGUGGAAAAAAUCAAACGCUUUUACGGGAAGUUAACAAAACGAUUUUUGAUCGCGUUGCAUGAAGAGGGAGCAGAUAAAUUCUUCUUCUCAACCAUUCUCCAGGAUGCUGGUUGCAGUGAAGCAGGGUGUAUGCUUGAAAAGAUAAUAAAAUUAUGCUCUUAUCAUUUAUUCUCGCAGUAAAGGAACUGUUGUCUUUUUCCGGAAGCAAUUAAACUUUUUCUGCAGAAAGACCAAUCACGAAGAGCAUGAAGAAAGUGAAUACACUGCAGCUGGCGCAUAAAAAAACUGUUGUACUUAGAAUAAACUAAGAAACAAGCUUUUUCUAUAACGGGGGAAACACAGGCUGUCAGAUGAACCGUUUCUCUCUUUAAACAAAAUGCCUCGGAAGUUAUUAACGCGCAGGGAACAGAAAAUGUUCAUAUAAGGCGAGAAAUUCAGCAUGAUACUAUUUUUCCCGCAGUACCAAAAGUAAAUGAACAAGUCGGCGCUUCUUCUCCUGCUUUUCAUCGGACUCCUCGUCAUCACCGAAACUACUGAUGCGUAUUAUCACUGGUCAUUGAUUCGUCGUCGUCGCCGCUGGAACGCACAGAAAAAAGAUGCGGAAUUCAAGGAUAUAGAAGAAAGCGAUGAGAAAAUGACAUCACUUCUUGAAUAAACCAGUAAAAAUUGGAUGGUUUUAAUAAAUUGAACAACGGCAUAA